UGGACAGAAAGCUUGACAUUGACUUCACUGCCCAUGGAUCCCGACUUCCGGUCACCAAGCUGCUUCUUCAAAUUUCUUCCAACCAACCCUUCCCUUCUUCUUUUAUAAACGCCGUGGAGUGGACAGAAAGCUUGACAUUGACUUCACUGCCCAUGGAUCCCGACUUCCGGUCACCAAGCUGCUUCUUCAAAUUUCUUCCAACCAACCCUUCCCUUCUUCUUUUUAAAACGCCGUGGAGUGGACAGAAAGCUUGACAUUGACUUCACUGCCCAUGGAUCCCGACUUCCGGUCACCAAGCUACUUCUUCAAAUUUCUUCCAACCAACCCUUCCCUUCAUCUUUUUUAAACGCCGUGGAGUGGACAGAAAGCUUGGCAUGACUUCACUGCCCAUGGAUCCCAAUUUCCG
rnacentral:lncRNA from 1 species